rnacentral:sRNA from 1 species
GAUUCAGGUAAGUACAGA